rnacentral:rRNA from 1 species
ACGCUCGACACCUACGGGAGGCCAGCAGUGGGGAAUAUUGCACAAUGGGGGAAACCCUGAUGCAGCGACGCCGCGUGGAGGAAGAAGGUCUUCGGAUUGUAAACUCCUGUUGUUGGGGAAAAAGAGGAUGGUACCCAACAAGGAAGUGACGGCUAACUACGUGCCAACAGCCGCGGUAAUCUGAGCGGGCUGGCAAGGC